GUGGGCGGCGAGUGUGCACCUCGCUAGGACCAUUGUUUGUUGUUUGGGUACUUUAGGUACUGUGUUUGACAUGCAUUAUAAUUAAAUUAUAUUUAUUCGGAGUGCUAUGUCCGGGUCCAUGGACUUCGGGGUGGCAUCCCAUACCUCACUGAGCGAUUCCCCUGUCGCUCACCCCUCACUCUUCCCCCUUUCAGGUGAGACAAACAAGUAUGUGAUAUUUGGACGGACUUGGUGCUACUGGACUUUUCUUUCGGAUUUUAUUUGGGCAUGGGUGAGAGUUGUCGGGUUUAUGGGCUUUUAUAUUACGGGAUAUUGUUGGUGGCCCGUCGUCCUUAGUGUCAGGGAGACGGGUAUCACAUUGUUGUAUGAUGACGCGUCGGGGGUGACACGCUGUCCUCCAUAUAGGAGGUGACGGGUGUCACAAUUUGGUAUCAGAGCGGGUUCCAUCCCGGUUCCGUCCGGGAUGGCGGUCAGGGGAUUCGGUUUUCAUCGGUUUUCAACUUUAAAAAAAAAAAACUAUAUAUUUAUUUAUACAUUUCGAAAUUCUUUUAGCACCAUUCUGUCCUGUAAUUACUAACUCAAAUGUCUCUUUCUAUGACGAUGAGUAAAAUCAUCGUCAUUCGUCCUUCGACUAAUAAGGUUCUCGACAGAUGUUCAGCAGUUGCGUGAAGUCCAAGUUCGUCAGUUUUCUCGGGAGUUAUCAGUUUCUUCGGACAUGAUUUCGAGGCUAUCCAGGAGUGGAUAUAUGACGUUUCUGCCACCAGCCCACUUCAAGCAAUCGUUCCACGAGUUUUGUUACUGGAGAUUUUGUGGUGUGUGAUAUGAGCCAUUGGUUGGCAUGUGUUGUUGUGUGUACGAGUAUAUUGACUAUUUUGGAGAUAUAUUUGUUUUGUGAACUCGUGGAGAUCGCUUUUGAAUUGGGGUGCAGCAGCUUGCGUUGUGUGGGUGUUGGAGUUACACUUUGGUAUGUUUACCAAUUUUGGCAGUGUUGAUCGUUUCAGAGAUGUGUCAGUUUGGACAACUGACAUAGGACAUUGGGAGCUGUUUAUAUCCAUCGCAGUGUACCAGUUAUGCUUGGAGGGCCGAUUUGUUCGGAUAUUCAUCAGAGAUGGAGCUACGUUUUUACGAUGUUAUCCUUGGGACGGAUUGAUUGUCACGGCAUCAAGUAGUGUUGGAUUGCCUGAGGGCAAGAGUUCCGAUUGCUGGAGCAGAUGGAAGUUGUUAGUGCAUGCAUGCUACAUACUGAGGAGUUAUGGGAUACAAGGACAUAGAGAUUUUUGACUACCAUCUCGAUGGUUAAGGCUGAUGGACAACAUGAGCUGCAGGAUCUUCCGGUUAUUGCAGAGUAUGAGGACAUAUUUGUGACCUUUGGAACGGUCACCACAUGACACAUGAGAAACUCUUGCGAUUUGUUUGGAGCAAACAACACCAGUUUCACAAGUUUUUACCGAUUAGCACCAACAGAGAUGACAAAGCUGAAAGAGCAUGUUGAAGAUUCAUCAGACAAGGGUUUUAUCAGACCGGGUACUUUACCGUGGGGAACAUCAUCAUUGUUGUUGUAAAGAAGAAAGGUGGGAGUUUCAAUUUUGUAUCGACUGCAAAGGUCUGAACAAAGUGACCAUUAAAGAUAAGUAUCGCUUCCGCGCGUUGAUGAAUUAUUGGAUUAUUACAGGAAGUUUAUAGUUCUUGAAGGUUGACUUGGCAUCAGAACACCAUCAAUUACUAUAUUUGAAGAGUAUCUACUGAAUGUGAAUUUUUGUAUACAUUAUGGAUAUUAUGGGACGCAGUGAUACCAUUUGGCUCGAUAAAGGCACUGUUGCAUUCAUGAAGAUAUGAAUGACGUUUUCGUGAACAUUUGGAUAGGUGUGCGAUUGUAUUCAUCGAUGACAUCCUGAUUUAUUUCGGUGUAGAAAGGAGAUUUGUGAGCAUUUCGCGGAUGGUGUUGGAUAAGCUUGGAGAGCAUCAACUGUUCGCUAAGUUGAAGAAGUGUAGCUUCUGGCAGAGGAAUGUUGGAUUUUUGGGUAACAUGGUUUGGAAGCAGAAUUUUGAUGGAUUCAAAGAAGAUUAAUACCGUUUCGGGAAGGUCGAAACCUAAGAGCGCUACAAAGAUCUGCCGUUCUUUUUGGGUUAAUAGUGUACUACUGGAAGUUCAUCAAGGGUUUCACCGGUUUAGUAAUGUUAAAGACGCGGUCUACAUGUAAAGACGUUAAGUGUGGUUGGAUAGAUUUUUGUUCGAGGAGUUUCACUGAAUUGAAGCACAACUAAUGAAGACACCAGUUUUGGGUUCUACUGAGGCUGAGGCUUACUGUGAUGUGUCAGAUACUGGAUUGGAUUUAAAUUAAGGUAUGAGGAUUAAGUCAUUCAUAUGCAUCACGCCAGAGAGGCUGUAGUGGUAUUUGCGUUAUCGUUUUGGAAAUCGUAAUUGUACGGGAAGGAAAUUCAGAUUCUCUGGGAUUAUUAGAAUGUGAAAUUUAUCUUCAUUUAUUAAAAACUUGUACUUGGACAGUGCAGUUGGAUUGAGUUUGUAGCAGGCUAUAGUCUGGAUAUCGCAUACUAUCUGGUAAGGACAACCAGGUGAUAAAUGCCUUGGGUAGGCGUAUGAGCUGUAUCUCAGGAACCAAGAAGGUUCAUGAGUUGGAGAUUUGCUAGUCUCAGGUUGGGUGCCAUUACUAUCAAUGGAGAGACAGAUGUCCUUGGGACUUUGGAGCAGGCAGUUUUGCUAUGGAGGAUACACAAGCACAAGUUAGCAUUCUGGAUUGGUUGAACAGAUCGAGAUUGGGAGUAUUGGAUAUCAUACAGCUUUGAGCAGGAUAUACUUGUACUGAAACCGAGUUUGUGUGUUGGACGAUAAGUUGUUAAGAAAAGGAAUCUUACAACAAACAUAUCACUCGUGUUUCUCUACCCAUCGGGAAGACCAAAGGGUACAAAGAUAUGAAGAGUUAACUAUAAUUGGUGUAGUAUGAAGAUGUUUGUAACUACAUUACGUCGCGGUGCCAGACAUGUUAUAUGGCAAUACAGAGGAUCAGUCAUCUAUCAUGUUAUUUUUGAGCUUGCUUUUGCUGGAGUAGAAAUGAGGCAUGGUGAUUAUGGACAUUGUUAUUGGAUUUUAAAUCACCAUAUGUGGAAAGGAUGCCACAUGGGUAGUCAUGGAUAGACUUACCAAGUCAGCCCAUUUCCUAAGUAAUUAAGAAGAUAAUCAGGGCUAAUCAAUUGGAGCAGACCUACAUUAUUGAGUUUGGGAAGUUUCAUGGAUGUCAACAUUGUAUCGGAUUGGGAAUCGAAGUUCACAUCUACAUUUCAGAGAGCCUUUCGGAAGGCACUUGGGACAAAGAUCAUAUGAGUACAUCUUAUCACCCGUUGACAUAUUGUCAGUCAGAGAGGACUACUCAGAACUUAAAUGAUAUGUUCAGAGAUUGUGUGGGAUGGAAUUUCGGAAAGCAUCUACCUUUACCAGAGUUUGCCUACAUCGACAACUAUCUUUUGAGUAUAAAAAAAAAAAAAAAAAAAAAAAAAAAAAAAAAAUUUACUAUACGAGGGUUAUUUAUGGUAGACCCUAUAGUAUACCACUUUGUUGGACCAAAGUGGGGUAGCAAUAUGAGUUAGAACUAUUAAUGGUUUAAGAGACGGUAGAGCAGAGGACAUGCUCAAGGAUUGGCUUUCGGAAGCCCAUGACGUCAGAGAAUUUAUGCAGCUAAGCACCGUAAGGAUUUGGAGCUACAUAUGAGCACCUAAUAUACCUGAAAAUAAGGACAUUUCAGGAGGGACCUAAGACUCAGAAGAUAAAGGAGCUUAAACCGAGACACAUGGAUUUGUAUCCUUCGCUGGAGUGGAUUGGAUUAAUUGCUUGCAGUUACUUUAUCAGCAGUAUAUCAGCCUUCUAGUACUUGGUUCAUAUGACAGCAUUGCAAAAGUUGAGAAGGCGCUAUAACUAUUUUGCAGUAGACAUCAAGUGAGUUCAUAAAGAUUUUAUGAACCUUAUCAUCUAUUGGAGAUUUUGGAUCAUCAUGAGAAGACAGUUCGGGGAAUAUCGACUGUGUUUGUCCGAGUUCAUUGGGAGGGAGAUAAGACCCAGGAGGAGACCUGAAAGGUCGAGCGAAGAUUAGUAUUCGAGGUUUUGCUAUGAUGACAUUGGGCACGUCAGCUUAUGACAUGAAUUCGGGGACGAAUUCCUUAUAAGUGGGGGAGAAUUGUAAUGACCCACCACUCCCACCAUCUCCACUUCUUUCUCCAACCCCACCACUUCCAACUUCUUCUCCACCAUCUCCACCUUCUUCCCCACCACCUCCAUCUUCUUUAAAAUAAGAAAGAGAGAGAGAGAGAGAGAGAGAGAGAGAGAGAGAGAGAGAAAGAGAGAGAGAAGAAGAAGAAGAAGGGAGAAAGCUCACCUGAGCUCGUCGCCGGAGCCACCACACGCCAGGACGUCGUCAAGCUCGUCACCACCAUCAUCCGCAACCAAAGAUUUGGAGUCCAUUUGAGCAGCUGGAGUUCAUAGAUACCACUUCUUAUUGCUAAGGUGAGACAAACAAGUAUGUGAUAUUUGGACGGACUUGGUGCUACUGGACUUUUCUUUCGGAUUUUAUUUGGGCAUGGGUGAGAGUUGUCGGGUUUAUGGGCUUUUAUAUUACGGGAUAUUGUUGGUGGCCCGUCGUCCUUAGUGUCAGGGAGACGGGUAUCACAUUGUUGUAUGAUGACGCGUCGGGGGUGACACGCUGUCCUCCAUAUAGGAGGUGACGGGUGUCACAA